rnacentral:rRNA from 1 species
AGCACCGUGAGGUGUGGAGGUGACCGGUACUAAUAGGCCGAGGGCUUGUCCUCAGUUG